GCCCAGAUCCCCAUAAGUCAGCGAUGAGGGGGGCCGAGCAGGGGCUGCCCGUUAGACGGCCGCAGAGUCCCAGCCCCCAGCCCUGCUCACCUUUCUUACCUCUCUGGCCCCGUCGGCAUUUGAGCCUGGGACCCCAGACGAAAGGAUACGCUUCCUUUUAGAACCCCUGCCAAUCUGAGGACGGGGCCACCCCACAGACGCCGUGGCUCAGCAAGCAGACCAAUGGCCGAGGAGUCUGGCAAGGGGCGCUUGGUGAGUGGGUUUAAUGACAGAUUAAGUUGCCCAUUAGGAAGCCAUUAGAACACAGCGUGAUGCAUCACUGGGUAAACGAGAGAGGCUGAAGUCAGAGACAGGAUCUUGGAGCGCUUGAUCCAAUUUAAUUCUUCUAUUUUUUUUUUUUUAAACCCUAGGCAGAUGAGAGUGGAGGUUGUAAAUCACCCUCCAUGCAAUGGUUCAUCAUAAAGGAUAUGGAGCAAAAUUAGAGGAGGCACGAGAAGGAAAGCCGGUGAUGAACAAGCCCAGAGACAGAAGCAGAUAAUGCAAGUGUCAUCUACAUCUGGCAAAAGCCAAAGGUUUGGAAGAUGGAAAAAGGAAUCCAGGCAAAAAGGAGCCCAAGAUUGAAGUGAAUGACCAGGUGCACCAGUUCAAAUGCAAUCAGGAGGGACAGGGGUAGAGGGAGAAGCCUAGAGCAGCGCUUCUCAAACUGACUAUUCAAGUCACCUGGAGAUCUUGGUGAAAUGCAGACUCUGGUGCAGUAGGUCCUGGCGGGAACUUGAAAUUCUGCAUUUUGACCAAGGUCCAAGGUGAAUGUCCAGUGCUGUUGUCCUUGGCCUGCAGCAGGAGGAGCAGGGAUCUAAGACUUGGAGAGCAAAUGUCAAGCUCAGAAGAAAGACUGGAAGUUUGGGGACAAAACCCAAAUAUGGCUAAAGAAAGCCUGUAGGAUGAAGUUGGAAGUUCCAGAGCCUUCUCUUCACAUAAUGGGACAUGCAAGGGGGAAACCAAAUCAAAAGUGUAGAAUGCGUCGCUGGAUGUCUUUGACAUGUUAUUGUUCUGAUAGAAUAUCAGCGGGGAGCUACUGAGGACCUCCUCACUACCCUCCCUUGGAAGAGUUUGUCUGCAAUGGAGCCAACACAGUGGAAAGCAGAGCUGAGAAAUGGACAAACAACUCCUGAUGCCUCAUUUGAGCACCUGGAUUUAGCCAUGUCUGAAGCUAUUAUAUCCUUGAACUUUUGAAUCAUGUAGGUUACCAUAAUUCCUUUUUUGUUAAAGCUAAUUUGAGUUGGGUUUCUAUCACUUGCAAUCAACAAUUGACCAGGUGCUUAGUACAUAAUGAAUGAGUGAAUGAACAAAUUCAAUUCUGUAAGUAUUUAUCAUCUCCUUACA
rnacentral:lncRNA from 1 species